rnacentral:lncRNA from 1 species
UGAGCUCUUGAGAACCUUCGGUUUCGGUGCAAUAGCUGGCUUGGUUUUCCUUGCUGCUUGUAAAACACCAGAAAGCACGACAUCAGGCUUCGGUGCAACGGGUGGAGGUGUUGCCUUGUGUCCUACCACAAAUUUUGGUUUGGGGGCCACGGGCGGCUUCUUAAUUUCGGCGGAGCUCAUGGCGCUCCCCUCAACGCACCGCACCGCUCCGCGCUCCCCUGUCCGUCACGGCGCGGCCCCGCUCGGGGCCUGGCAGCAGGAGCCCAUUGUCCGCCCGCGCCGCCCCCCGGCAGCGCCCUCCGCCC